rnacentral:rRNA from 1 species
UACGGGGGGAGCAAGCGUUGUUCGGAUUUACUGGGCGUAAAGGGCGGGUAGGCGGCCACCGGCAAGUCAGUUGUGAAAUCUCCGGGCUUAACCCGGAAAGGGUCAACUGACUACUGCGGGGCUAGAGUGCAGAAGGGGCAACUGGAAUUCUCGGUGUAGCGGUAGAAAUGCGUAGAUAUCGAGAGGAACACCUGCGGCGAAGGCGGGUUGCUGGGCUGACACUGACGCUGAACUGCGAAAGCUAGGGGGAGCGAACGGG